rnacentral:lncRNA from 1 species
UAGCUCAGUGCCGACAGUGGCGCCGCCGUGUUUGUUUUAGACAAACCUCACACAAAUUUAUGUGUCCGUGACUGACGGGCUCGGGAGCGCCGGGACCCCACGCUGGACGAGUGCUUAUUGAUGAUGGAUGAAAAGAAGACUGACUGCCUGGAGCAGAAAAUGCGUCACUCGCACAUUUUAUGUCAUAUGCGCGCACUACACCGAAGACAGGGGUUCUUUCUACAUUUUGCCCCUCGCUAUGCUGCCUACUGAAUAAGUGAAAUGAGAAUUCUCCGCACUGCAAGCGGGUAAAUCGUUGCAAAGGGAGACAAAGGAAAGUCCAAGGACAAAGGACAAGUCCAGGCUUGCCAUGAAGUUGUUCGAGUGUGAUGGGCCCAUUUGGAAACGCGCAAAGUAACGCUUGUCGGCUCAUGAGCACUAGUCACAAACCGUGACGUUACAGAGACGAUGAGGAACGGAGAGUGAAGUUGCUGAAAACACGUCUCUUAGAACAUUUCUGUGGUUAGGAAUCAUUCGGUGUGCCAUACAUGCCGUUCGAAGGAUUUUUCCGGAAACAGAGGCGCACCAAACACCACACCUUACUCUGGUAUUACCACACAACAUUAGUAGAAACUUAGAAAGGGAGCAGCUGGGAUGCCGGAAGCAGCGACUGACACUGGAUUGUCACGCGCGAGUUCUGACCCGGAAGCAGUGCGUGAAUCCGGACUGGGGUCGAUCGACGGUGGAUGUUAAAAUAGUGUAGCGGUGAUGGUAAGUUUUCACAUGGCGUGUUUUCAUCGUUUCUGCCGUUAAAGUUAUUAUUGUGGCACUUAUCCUCCAGUGCUGAGAUUCUUGAGCUUCUCCGUUCGGAGAUUUCAAACGUGUUUUCGUCCGGAAGACGUUAGUUUUGAUUAGUCACUGCAGCAGCAGCAGUUCGCCUCUCUCUCUUUCUCUGUCUCACUCUGUCUGCGUUCCCUCCUCUCGCCUGGCCUGAGUGAGUCUGUUGUUCUCGUCUCGUUUUAUAAACUGUGAGCUGUACUGUAUGGAACCGUACAUACUGUGUGUGUCUUCAUUUAUUAUCUCACUGACGAAAUCGGUGCAAAACAAAAGCUUGGUGACCGUUGUAGAAAGAAGCCGACUCGUUUGGACUAGA